UCGGAAGGAGUUAGGCAACUUGCCAGUGUUGGCACAUUAGUUACCCUCAACACGUUAAAGCAAAGGUCAGGGCAGGAUUUAUGUGGAGACUGAGAGGAAAGCAGAAGCAGGUAAGCCCUUCUUAGUGGAGAGCCUUCUUUGCUGCCCUGGGGGUUGGCAGUGACACAUUUCAUUUUGCAGAUACUGGCAGUUGUAAGAGUGAAGGCAGGAUUCAGGAUGAGCUAUCAGCUCAUCCUUAUUCUGGAAUUGAUGGAGAACAGUGGUCUGGAGUAGGGCUUGCUCUUAGAAGUGUAUGUUGGCUUCAGCAGGCCUCGUGCUGGGAGAACUGGUCUAGCUAUAUUCAGUGUUACAGCUGUCUGAGAUUGCAGAAAUUAGGUUAAGGAUUGCUUCAGAGUUUGUGGUGGGUCACAGAAGGCUGAAUAACAUUUAUGCAGUGUACAGGUAUGGGGCUUUUUUUGCAAAGAAUAAGAUGGAGCAACAUACGAGGGAAUGUUUAUGGGGGAGGGAACUGCAAUUAUUUAUUCUGGAGAAGAGGAGGCUCAGGGGAGACCUUCUGUCUCUCUACAACUGCCUGAAAGUAGGCUGUGGCAAUGUGGGGGUUGAUCUCCCAGGUAAUAGCGAUAGGACGAGAGGAAACAGCCUCAAAUUGAGCCAGGGGAGGUUCAGGUUGGAUAUUAGGAAAAAUUUCUUCUCAGAAAGAGUGGUGAGGCAUUGGCACAGCCUGCCCAGGGAGGUGGUGGAGUCACCAUCCCUGGAGGUGUUGAAGAAACGUGGAGGCGUGACACAGGGACAUGGUUAGUGGGCAUGGUGGAGGUGGGUUGACAGCUGGACUAGACAACCUUUAAGAUCUUUUCCAACCUUAAUGAGUCUUUUUUUCUGUGUUUGUUGCUUCAGCACAUUGGCCUUACUGCACAUAAGAACAACUCUUUCCACUGAUGUUUUUUCACCUGCUCUGGAUGAAGCCUGAGGUACACCCUCAGUGACACUCCUGGGUUCUCCUUUUCCUUUCUGCUUUGGUGCAGAGGUGAAAGUAUCACAAGACAGUGAGAAAUGGAUGGAUUUACUUGACACAAAGAGAAAAUGCUGCUCUGCCAAAAUCAACUUUCUGAUGACAACAGCAGGACCAAAAAUUUGACUCAGGUGAUUUUUUGUUGCCCACAUAAACAUAAAACUGUGC
ensembl:lncRNA